rnacentral:misc_RNA from 1 species
GCCAUAUUUCAGAUAUAUACCAAUACCUGAAGAUAUAUACAGAAACCUGGAUUUAACAAAUGUUAAGGUUGGUUAGAUAAAUGAAAAAUAUGGCACAGAUUUAGCAGAGGAUGCAAAGACCAAAGUAAUCGAUGAAUCUUAGUAAAGGCUAUUCGGAUGUUAGAUAUGAUAAUGCAUCUCCAUACAAUGGGAUGAAAAAGAAGGUAACCUUUUUUAAGGAAAAAUGUCUCUGGAUAAAUCUAGGAAUUAACUGGUUUCGCUGCACGUGAUAAAGAGAAAAAUCAUUUUCCUUAGCGUUAAAGAAAUUCCAUCUAUAAGAAAAAAAGUCAGGAGCCAAAGAACACAGUUUAAGUCAGUUCCUUUACACUAUUU